rnacentral:lncRNA from 1 species
GAUGCUGAACCAAUGAACUGUGCGUCGUAAGCGGAUUUUGCGGAGUAGUUACCAUCUGCAGUAAGCUUCCAAGUGAUAUCAUCUUGGACACUCGGGCGCAGGGCUACCUGUUGUACGACUUGCCAUAGAAGGACGUAUUCUCGGAAGUGUUGCACAGAGAAUCUACUGUGGUGUAUGUUGAUGUCCCGGAUCCAAGUUCGGUUGUGAAGCGCGUCACGUAAACUCCUAUUCUUCCUUUUUGAAAUGGAGAAAAUACUUGGCGCUAUGUCCUUUGGCCUUUGGCC